GCAUUUUGUGGAACUGUUGACUGUGGUGACUCUUCAAUUGAACUGAUCAAAUAUAAGUAGAAACAAUGCUCUUUAAACCGAUAAUUGUGGAAUAUCACGCUGACGCAAAAGCAUACUUCGGAAAGUGGUAGAACAAAAUCGGAGAGAUAUGAGAACUGUUAUCAAAAUACUGAGAAAUGAAACCCUCAAUCAUUCGUAAAGUGGAAUGCUAAUUAUCCGUGGGAACUUUAGCUCGUGGACAAUACAAUGUCUAUUAAUCAAUGCAUAAUUAUACUGCCCUAUAAUUCUGGUUGGUUAUUAAAGUGAAAUCCGCCUGAAAAUAUUAAAUUACGUUUAAUUCAAACUUUGAGAAUUAUUUGAUUUGCCAUCAUGAUCAACAAAAUGUGGUACUAAUUUAAAAUGCAUUUCUUCAAUAUUUCUGUAUAUUAAAGGAUUCCAACAAUUGGCGACUACUUCUAAUAAAUAAAAAGCUAUUGUCUAUUGUGAUAUUAUUAAUAUACAGUCUAGAUAUAAAAGAAAUAAAAGAUAUUCACUCUUGUAAUUUGAUAUAAAACGAAAUAGAAAUUCGCCAGCAACACGAUAUUAACAAACAUU